AAAAAUAAAAAAAAAAAAACAAUACAAAAAAAAAAAAAAAAAAAAAAAAAAAAAAAAAAAAAAAAAAAAAAAAAAAAAAAAAAAAAAAAAAAAAAAAAAAAAAAAAAAAAAAUAAAAAAAAAAAAAAACAAAAAAAAAAAAAAAAAAAAAAAAAUAAAAAAAAAAAAAAAAAAAAAAAAAAAAAAAAAAAAAAAAAAAAAAAAAAAAAAAAGAAAAAAAAAAAAAAAAAAAAAAAAAAAAAAAAAAAAAAAAAAAAAAAAAAAAAAAAAAAAAAAAAAAAAAAAAAAAAAAAAAAAAAAAAAAAAAAAAAAAAAAAAAAAAAAAAAACAAAAAAAAAAAAAAAAAAAAAAAAAAAAAAAAAAAAAAAAAACAAAAAAAAAAAAAAAAAAAAAAAAAAAAAAAAAAACAAAAAAAGAAAAAAAAAAAAAAAAAAAAAAAAAAAAAAAAAAAAAAAAAUAUC
rnacentral:lncRNA from 1 species